ensembl:snRNA U6 U6 spliceosomal RNA
GUGUUUGCUUCUGCAGCACAUAUACUAAAAUUGGAACCCUGCAGAGAAGAUUAGCAUGGUCCCUGCCCAAGGUAGACAUGCAAAUUGGUGAAGCAUUCCGUGUUUUG